UACGAAGGGUGCUAGCGUUGUUCGGAAUCACUGGGCGUAAAGCGUGCGCAGGCGGUUAUGCAAGACAGGUGUGAAAUCCCCGGGCUUAACCUGGGAACUGCAUUUGUGACUGCAUAGCUAGAGUACGGUAGAGGGGGAUGGAAUUCCGCGUGUAGCAGUGAAAUGCGUAGAUAUGCGGAGGAACACCGAUGGCGAAGGCAGUCCCCUGGACCUGUACUGACGCUCAUGCACGAAAGCGUGGGGAGCAAACAGG
rnacentral:rRNA from 1 species